GUGUCUGCACGCAUUACACUGACGGGUAGACCGUAAUUUAUUUUCCCAGUUCUUAACUAAUAGGUACUUAAGUUCCCAAUCUUUUGAAACUACAAAUGGACCUUCAGUGAAUAAGUGUGUAUCCAUGUCAUUUCACACACGCACACAGAUAUCUGGACCAAAGUCUCUCAAGUGUUAUACUUUGUCUGCUCAUUUGCUUGCUUGGUCAUUCACCCAUCUAGGACCUGGGGACACCAAGAUGAAUAGUACCCCCUCCCUGGAGGGGUGAGCGCCUGGGCAGAGAGAGUGAGUGGGACAAACAAGAAGUCCGGGCCAUUCUCUGUCUCUGGAAACCUGAAACUGACAACUGACCUGAGGACCAGUUUUCUCCAAGCUCCUGGAUGGAUGCUGGGACUCAGGUUCACAGACCUCUGAGUUUCCAGAUCCCAGUCUUUCUGCAACAAAGACAGUGAUACUCAAACUAGCACCCAGGCAAAUGGAGCCCAAACCCUCCCUGAAGGAGUGUGCACCUUGGCAGAGAUUUUGAUUAGGUUACGACCCAGAGGGUGGCCUCUGGGGUGUGUAGUCUGGUGGGAGAAGAGGACAAGCAGUUGAGCUCUCACCAAACCCAGCGAGGAGUUUGAGGAGAGAAGAACACCAAGGGCAUUUUGGGAACUGGGAAGAAAUUCUUUCCUGAGGGUAGAGAAGCCUUCAGAGAAGAAAGAAGCCAAGAGAGGUUACCCAGUGAAGAAGGCAAGUCACGCGAAAGUGAGGUAUGUGACGCCUUUGUAGUCUUUGUUAAGGAGAUACAUAUUGGCAUGUGAAUGUCUGGAAACUUAAUGGAAGAAAAUACAUGAAGUCAACAGCUUAUACUUCCUGGGAGAUGGGCUGGACUGAAAAGAACAAGAGAGAAGAGAAAGGAGAGCAGAAAGAGGGGUACAGUCCCUCUUGAU